ensembl:lincRNA
GUUGUGCAACAGUUGUCAUUUAUGUGCAUUCUCCAUUUACAGGUGAGAACUCUGACACAUCCAGAUUUUGUAAGCUGCAUAGAAUGAAUUUCACAGGAUGCAUCCAAUUCAUGGACUCUUACAAGAUUUUAUCAAUACCUACAGCUCUGACCUCUGGGUUGAAAAUUUUGAAGAAGCAGUUACUGGGUCCAGAGAUUCUCUUAUGGUUCCAGAGAAGAUGGCAGUGAAUGUGGAGACUCUGAGAAGAAUUAUCCCAUAGACACAAGAAAGUAAGAAAACAUUUCUAAGUUAACAAUAUGUACAUAUUAUACACAUUCCUAUAUUUUUACAGUACAAAGUUACUAAUUUCAAUGUAACAGGUAGCCAGUCAACUAUUUUACAAUACAUCAUAAACAUAUAUAUUUAAGUUAGCCAACUACUCUAUGAAAAGCACUCUUCACUUGGAAAAAUUAAAGAAUCUGCAAUGAUUUUAGAUGCAAUAGAAUCAUGUUAUUGAUCUUCAUAAAGUAAAAGUAAUAGUAGAGCUGACCAAAGUUGAAAAGUAGAUCGGGCAAGAAGAGGUAAAAGUGGAAAAAUAAGAUGCGAAGGUUCAGUUUUGUUAAGUAGAACUACAGAAAGAUCAACUACAAGUAAAGCACAAAUGAAAUUCUUACCUAUCAUAAUAGGAAUUCAGUAGAUAAUUUUCAAGUUGCUAAGUGAAAAAAUAGAAAUAACAUGUUAGUCAAUAAUUUGGAGGCAAGAACCUUUAGAAUUUUAAUGAAAAUGGAUAGAAGUGAUUGUUUCUCUGAAGAGAGAAUGUACUUGGAGAAUUGUGGUGUUACUCUUGAGUGUUCCUCAUUAAAACUAACAUAGUUUAAACUUCAUAGAUUAUAUACAAAUAUACCUGAGCAAUUAAUCUUUAUUAUAUAUGAGAAUUUGGUGUUAUUGAUAUGCUUCGUUUAUAGAGAGGAAAUUGAAAUUCACAGAAUUUGAAUAACUGCUUGGGUUCACAGUUUUUUCAGUAGGAGAAAAGAUGUUUAUAACCAGAUCUUCCAAAUGUCAUACUCUUUGGAAAUCUCAAAAUAGGAGUGGAUACUAAAUAAUAUUUUUUCCAAAAUGUUUCCAAUCUCCUCUCAUGAAUGUAUAGAAUGUAUUUUAAUCCAGGUAUUGGCAAACUUUUUUCUUGUAAAAGGCCGAUUUUUUACUUUGUCAGCUACAUGAUCUUUGUAGAAAUCACUCAACUCUCCCAUUGUAGUGUAGCAGCAAGAAGACAAUAUGUAAUUGGAUGAGCAUGGUCUUGUUUGGCUUAUGGGCUACAGUUUGCCAAGCCUUGGAUCAAUAAAUUAAUUAUUUCUCUCUUUUAAUUUUUAUUUCUAGUUUCACUUUUGGGGGCAAAGACGGCUAUGCGAUAUUUUCACUGAGCCUAUUCUGUAAUUUUCCUCUAACCCUGUAUUAGUCCGUUCUGACACUGCUGUAAAGAACUACCUGAGACUGUGUAAUUUAUUUUAAAAAAAGAGGUUUAAUCAUCUCAAGCUGUCCAGGCUUCUGCUUCUGGGUAGACCUCAGGAAAUUUACAACCAGGGUGGAAGGCAAAAGGGAGGCAAGCACACCUUCACACGGCAGAGAAGAGAGACAGAGAAGUGGAAAGUGCUACACACUUUCAAACAACC